rnacentral:rRNA from 1 species
GUCGAGAAUAAUUCACAAUGGGGGAAACCCUGAUGGUGCAACGCCGCGUGGAGGAUGAAGGUCUUCGGAUUGUAAACUCCUGUCAUCUGGGAGUAAGACCUGACGGUGAAUAGCCGGCAGGGUUGAUAGUACCAGAAGAGGAAGGGACGGCUAACUUCGUGCCAGCAGCCGCGGUAAUACGAAGGUCCCAAGCGUUGUUCGGAAUCACUGGGCGUAAAGGGAGCGUAGGCGGCGUGGUAAGUCAGAUGUGAAAUCCCGGGGCUCAACCCCGGAACUGCAACCGAGACUGCCAUGCUUGAGGGUUGGAGAGGUAGCUGGAAUUCUCGGUGUAGCAGUGAAAUGCGUGGAUAUCGAGAGGAACACUCGUGGCGAAGGCGAGCUACUGGACAACAUCUGACGCUGAGGCUCGAAGGCCAGGGGAGCAAAAGGGAUUAGAAACCCGAGUAGUCC